rnacentral:lncRNA from 1 species
UUUCAUAUUUGAUCAAGUGCUCAAUUUAUUGUCGAAUUCGGUGCACUCCCUCCAACUCUUUCUCUUAUUUAAUAUUUUAAUUGCAUAUUUAAUUUAAGGUUAUAUUUUCAUUUUUACAAUAUGUUUAAUGAUGCUAGUCCUGUAGCUUCUGGAAGUAGUAAUAGUAAUGACCCGACUUCUAAUCGUAAAAGAAGAAGUCCGG